UAUAGAGGUCUCAACCGUUGUUCGGAUUCAUUGGGCGUAAAGGGUGCGUAGGCGGUCGCGCAAGUCGGAUGUGAAAUCUCAGGGCUCAACCCUGAAACUGCAUUCGAUACUGCGUGGCUAGAGUGCUGGAGAGGAGACUGGAAUUUACGGUGUAGCAGUGAAAUGCGUAGAUAUCGUAAGGAAGACCAGUGGCGAAGGCGAGUCUCUGGACAGCAACUGACGCUGAGGCACGAAGGCCAGGGGAGCAAACGGG
rnacentral:rRNA from 1 species